rnacentral:lncRNA from 1 species
AGCUUGGAAUAUCAGGUAGGGGACUCACACCCUGGUUAGUGGUUUUCGAUAUGUAUUAUGUAUGUAAAUAUGGAUGUGUGCAAGCUAUGCAUUGGAUUUUGUUGUUGUUAGAACUGCAUGUUAGGAAAAGGAGUUUUAUUUUUCUAGCAUGUGAUUUAUGUUAUUCUAAAUUGUAAUGACGACCUGAGAGUGAAGGGGGCUGUGUGACUAUCCUGGGCUUCGAUCCCCUAAACCUCUGGAGGGUCCUAUACAAACGAACUCGUAUCAUUAACCGUAAGGGGAAAGGGUACUUGUGUCUAUGUGGUAUAGGUUGUAAGUGGACACUCUCACUACCCUACCUCGUGUUGAUAUUACUUGAGAAUUUAUUUUAGGUAUGGUAGUUGGCCGCGUGUUCGGUUGUCAGGACAAGAAGAAUGCAGGGAUCCCACUAUAGUUAAUUUUGAGCAUGAAAUAAUUUUAACUCAUGCCAAAACAUUUUGUUGUGCAAAUUAUUUCCUUUAUACAUAGUACAAGGGUAUAUCUAUUUUCAAACCUAGCUAGGGUGCCUCCCGAGGGGGGGCAAAUGAUUGUAUGUGAUGCUCACCCCUACAUUUUCAGGUGUUGUGCGAGAAAUAAUAGAAGAGUUGGACUAAGGUGUGGGGUUGUAGCUUGUAAACCUCAAAGCUUCGAGUCAGAAAAUUAGCUUUUGAAAUGUAAAUAUUGAUUUUCUGGUUUCAAUGAAAACUGUAUAUGUAUAGCCUCUUUUGCUUCUGUAUAUAUUUAUCUAAACCUAUCACUCCUUUGGCUUUUGUAAACUGAACUUUUGGGAUUUCUGUUGUAAAAAGGUUGCUUAUGAAAUGGUUUGAAUGUUAUGGAUUU